CGGGGGCAACCCUGGUGGCGAGUGGCGAACGGGUGAGUAACACAUCGGAACGUGCCCAGUCGUGGGGGAUAACUACGCGAAAGCGUAGCUAAUACCGCAUACGAACUCUGGUUGAAAGCGGGGGACCGCAAGGCCUCGCGCGAUUGGAGCGGCCGAUGGCAGAUUAGGUAGUUGGUGGGGUAAAGGCUCACCAAGCCGACGAUCUGUAGCUGGUCUGAGAGGACGACCAGCCACACUGGGACUGAGACACGGCCCAGACUCCUACGGGAGGCAGCAGUGGGGAAUUUUGGACAAUGGGCGCAAGCCUGAUCCAGCCAUUCCGCGUGCAGGAUGAAGGCCCUCGGGUUGUAAACUGCUUUUGUACGGAACGAAACGCGCCGGGCUAAUACCUCGGCGUAAUGACGGUACCGUAAGA
rnacentral:rRNA from 1 species